rnacentral:rRNA from 1 species
AUGCAAGUGUAAGUUCACGCCACGCAUUAGAACGGGCGAAACCGCGAAUGGCUCAGGAACCGGACCUAAUCCUCGGGACCGUAAUCCUCCUCGGAGGCGUUGGAUAACUGUGGCAAUUCUAGAGCUAAUACAUGUGACACAGGCCGCGAUCGGCCGUCGCGUCGUGGUCGCCUCGCCUCGCGCGCUGGCACCCGCGGCGGCCGUCUUGGGUCGCGGCGCUACAUAUUAGACUGAGACCGAUGCGCGAUUCACGGCCUCCCUUCCUUCGGGUCGGGRYCAAGGUCGUCGCGCUCCGCUUUGGUGACUCUGGAUAACUCACUGGUCGAUCGCACGGGCUUCACGCCCGGCGACGGGUCCCCCGAGGGUCCGCCCUAUCAACUGUCGACGGUCGGUUAAGUGCCUACCGUGGUUACUACGGGUAACGGGGAAUCGGGGUUCGAUUCCGGAGAGGGAGCAUGCGAAACGGCUACCACA